rnacentral:rRNA from 1 species
AUUGAACGCUGGCGGCAUGCCUUACACAUGCAAGUCGAACGGUAACGGGCCUUCGGGUGCCGACGAGUGGCGAACGGGUGAGUAAUGCAUCGGAACGUACCUUUCAGUGGGGGAUAACGUAGCGAAAGUUACGCUAAUACCGCAUAUUCUGUGGGCAGGAAAGCAGGGGAUCGCAAGACCUUGCGCUGAUUGAGCGGCCGAUGUCAGAUUAGCCAGUUGGUGAGGUAAAGGCUCACCAAGGCGACGAUCUGUAGCGGGUCUGAGAGGAUGAUCCGCCACACUGGAACUGAGACACGGUCUAGACUCCUACGGGAGGCAGCAGUGGGGAAUUUUGGACAAUGGGGGCAACCCUGAUCCAGCCAUGCCGCGUGAGUGAAGAAGGCCUUCGGGUUGUAAAGCUCUUUCGGUCGGGAAGAAAUCGCAUGGGUUAAUACCCUGUGCGGAUGACGGUACCGGCAUAAGAAGCACCGGCUAACUACGUGCCAGCAGCCGCGGUAACAC